CCUUAAAUCAAGACUAAUGUGGCUUCAACGAUAAGCUCCCAAAGUUUCCCAGCUUUCUUCUUUACCUGAGUAAUGACCACCAGGAGGGGCUUCACAGCAGCUUGUUUUGUUCCUAGAUCCAUAAAAAUAUGUGCAUUUGCCUACAAGGACAGUACGCAUUUUAAGGUUUCCAUGUCAGUGUAUGGGAUUUUAAAUAAUGUGAUAAUUUUCAUAACCUGCUUGGACUUGAUUCACUAACCUACUGUGUUUCAAGAAGCAGCUCAUCAGCAUGGGUGACUGCAUGGUAGCCUAACCUGAAAACCUUCCAGGUUUCCUAAAUUCCACUGUCUUGCACAUGUUUAUUGUAACUUCAUAGCAACUAUGUCCAUAUACAGAAUGAUGAAAGGGUGUUUCUUUUCAUUAUCUGACUAGAAUAUUGCUGAAGAAACAAUGAAGCUUGUGUAUUAUGAAACAACAGAACAGGGAUGUCUGAUCAUGUGCAGAGGGGGGAUAAGAAAUUAAUUUUACAGCGCCCUUCAGAAAGUCCAUCAGAAGGAAAAGUUAUCCUCGAAACCUACUCUUCCUCAGUGUGAAAAUUAUAUAUAUGUACAAAUCGUGGGUUUUCUUGGCUUCUGGUGUCACCAGAGUUGUCUUGGAAGUAAAGGAACAAUCCUGCUUCCAUUAAUUCCAAACAUUAAACAACUAUGAUAUUAACAUUUAAAAAUGCUUUGCAUUCAAGCUGUUCACCUGGAGUGAAGGGCUAACUGAUUCAGUCUGCACACAUAGAUUAUGCAUCCUACAUGUAAAGUCUUUGAUCCAUGAUAAAACCAACAUCUGUUGAUCUGUUUUGCACUGCAUCUUGCAAUGAAUGCUUUUCAAUAUAUGUAUUUCAUUGUAUCUGUUGUUGAAAAAAAGAGUUUACUGGAUAACACUUGAAUGAAUUAACUGAAAAAUGAACAGAUAUAUUUAAAGCUUCUCAAGAGUCAGUGGUUUCAAA